ACUCCUACGGGAGGCAGCAGUGGGGAAUAUUCAUAAUGGGCAGGCAAGCCUGAUGCAGCCAUGCCGCGUGUGUGAAGAAAGGCCUUCGGGUUGUAAAGCACUUUCAGUCGUGAGGAAGGUGGUAGUGUUAAUAGCACUAUCAUUUGACGUUAGCGACAGAAGAAGCACCGGCUAACUCCGUGCCAGCAGCCGCGGUAAUACGGAGGGUGCGAGCGUUAAUCGGAAUUACUGGGCGUAAAGCGCAUGCAGGUGGUUUGUUAAGUCAGAUGUGAAAGCCCGGGGCUCAACCUCGGAAUAGCAUUUGAAACUGGCAAGCUAGAGUACUGUAGAGGGGGGUAGAAUUUCAGGUGUAGCGGUGAAAUGCGUAGAGAUCUGAAGGAAUACCGGUGGCGAAGGCGGCCCCCUGGACAGAUACUGACACUCAGAUGCGAAAGCGUGGGGAGCAAACAGGAUUAGAUACCCUGGUAGGCUCU
rnacentral:rRNA from 1 species